AUUGAACGCUGGCGGCAUGCCUUACACAUGCAAGUCGAACGGCAGCACGGGGGCAACCCUGGUGGCGAGUGGCGAACGGGUGAGUAAUACAUCGGAACGUGCCCGGUAGUGGGGAGUAGCUCGGCGAAAGCCGGAUUAAUACCGCAUACGACCUACGGGUGAAAGCGGGGGACCGCAGGCCUCGCGCUAUUGGAGCGGCCGAUGUCAGAUUAGGUUGUUGGUGGGGUAAAGGCCCACCAAGCCGACGAUCUGUAGCUGGUCUGAGAGGACGACCAGCCACACUGGGACU
rnacentral:rRNA from 1 species